rnacentral:rRNA from 1 species
AGCAGUCGCCGCGGUAAUACGAAGGGGGCUAGCGUUGUUCGGAAUUACUGGGCGUAAAGCGCACGUAGGCGGACAUUUAAGUCAGGGGUGAAAUCCCGGGGCUCAACCCCGGAACUGCCUUUGAUACUGGGUGUCUAGAGUAUGGAAGAGGUGAGUGGAAUUCCGAGUGUAGAGGUGAAAUUCGUAGAUAUUCGGAGGAACACCAGUGGCGAAGGCGGCUCACUGGUCCAUUACUGACGCUGAGGUGCGAAAGCGUGGGGAGCAAACAGGAUUAGAUACCCCAGUAGUCCCUGUCUCUUAUAA